rnacentral:sRNA from 1 species
UCCCCUGACGAUGAUGGUCGAGCCCGGA